AGAAACACCGGACAAGUACAGAGCUAUAGACAGCCCAGUCAGAGCCACCAGCAGUCAGUCACCGUUAAUAGGCCAGUGAGAUCUUCUCAAUCAGGGGCAAACUCCAGUCGAGGGAAGCCGAGGGCACAAAAUGAUCGGACCCCAGGGAGGGUCUUCCACCUGACACAGGAGGAGGCCAGGGCUGCAUCGGAUGUGGUGGCAGGUGGUGCGGUCGGGAUUGGACCAUCAUCAAGACAGGAACGACCCACAGGUGGAGCAGGGACGUCACACCAACGAGAUGUCUAGGAUACCCGAUACACGGGAACCUACUUUUGCAAGGAAUUAAGUAGAUGCAUUCUAAAUCACAAUGUAUUUUGUAGGGAUCAAUGUACUGAAUGUAUAACUUUUAUUAGAUCCUUUUUGUUUAAAAAUUGUGAUGGCUAUUAGAAGUAUAAGAGUGCAAACUCAUGUCCAUGUAUAUAUAUUUUUAAUAUGAACUUCAAAUCAUGCAACCUUAAUAUUAUGUGUUUGUGUAAGAUUCGCU